GGAUAUAGCUCAGUGGUAGAGUACAUGCUUAGCAUGCAUGAGGUCCUGGGUUCAAUCCCCAGUACCUCCA
rnacentral:tRNA from 1 species